UUAAUUAGUUUUCAACGUUGAUUUUGAGUGAGAUUCGCCCGCCAUUGGAUAUUUUCCAACCCUUUCAAUUCGAUUUUCCAAGAAUAAAAACCCUUUGCCCCAUCCAAUACAAAUCACCCUUUAUUUUAUUUUUUUUUCUUAGAGAGAGAGAGAGAGAGAGAGAGAGGGGAUUCACAUGAAGAUGAUGGCUCUACUUCUUUUCCUGCUGCUAUUAACUUCAUCUCCUAAUUAUGCAGGUACCUGUCAAGGCAUCAGAUCGGACAUGGAAAGCAUCCCUAAUCUUCCACGCAAGAUAAUGAAUAGAGAGUUGAGAAGCAUGAAAGAUUCAGUAGUAGUGCUGGAUUACUGUCAAGGUGGACCAAACACUUCCCAUGAUCCGCCUGGCAGAGGCAAACACUGUUGACAUAUAUAUAUAUAUAUGUUCAAGAAAUAAUAUAACCACUCAUCACCCAAACACAAUUUAUGCGUUGUGAAAUCAUAUUAUAUAUUCCCAAUCUCCAUGGAUAUUAUAAGUGAUAAAUCAAUGGAGGUAAGGGCAAUUGUUUGUGUCAACAAUCUAUUGGUAGUAUUUGGGAGUUUUGAACUUAAAAUAAUUAAAAAUUAAAUAUUUGGUAUAGAUAUUUUAUAAGAGUAAAUAGUGUUAAAACUUUUAAAAGGGCAUAUGCAAACUGCAAAUUGUCCAUUCCUUGGCCAAAAUGAUAUGCAGUAUCUUGAAUUUGUUGAUUAUGUUAUGUUUAGAAGACAAAUUUUCUUUUCUAAUCAUUUUUGUUGCCGUUCAUCAGAUAAAACUUACUCUUGGGGUUUGAAACCGUACCUCUCCUCGGGAAUAUAGAUCUUUCAUCAAGCCAUUUAUUUUUAAAUUUGUUUAAAGUCCAUGAUUUUAUGGUAACUUAUAAUACCAAAAAAAUGGCCUUUCACCACGGCCCGAGGUUCGUGACAACAACAUCGUAACAAAUAGUGGUUUUAGUUACGUGAAUAUCCGUGACAAAAAAAUAUCAUCCUGGUCAAUGUUUCAAGUUUAUUAGUUAUGCAAAAAAUAUGUAACAAAUAGGGAGAUUGUAGACUUUGAUUAAAAUAUAUUAGUUAUGAUAGUUUUUCGUAACAACUGGUCAAAAUAAUAUUAAUUAAACAAAAAUUUUACAAUAAAAAAAAGGUAAAAAUGCAAGUGCACUUUCACUCAACAGAAAAAAAUAAACACAAACACGCUUCUAGAGAUCUAGGGCAUCAUAUUUCUCAUUCCAGUACUUAGAAAAAUCAAACAAAUUUAGGGCAUAAUAUUUCGUCCCCUCCAACGAUCGACAACUCUCUUCUUUCUUUCGCCGACGAGACGCGCAUAGUUGUGGGAUUGAGCAGAUAGUCCGGCGCCGGCAUCCAAGUAAUGUUUUAAAGUUUUCUCCCGUAUUAUUUGGUGUCGAUUCACAGUUCUUCAUCUUUUCCUAUAUGGAGAAAUCAAAUUAGGGAGUCUUAAUAUCCAGCUUCUUCCUCACGUUGAUACAAAGCUCUGCUUUGGGGAGUAUUUUUAGUGCCAGGCUGCCCUGCCCCUUGUGCAAUUUACUUUUUUUUAUUCUAGAUUUAAGAUAGAACUAUUAUCAAAGUGAUUCUUAAUGUGUGUCUUCAUUAAUAACUCAGCUUCAUAACGAAGAUAAUUCAAUAUUUUUAUCACCACAUUUUCAAAUAUGACUUUGCAAAAAAUUAAUAAAAGAAAUGUGUAUGUAUGAAAUGAAAAAAAUUAAAUAUGAAAACUGGACAAAAUAUUAAUAAAUUUUAAAUAACAAAAUGAACCUGAAAAGCCACAGAGGCUUGUGGAUUAAGGAUUUAUAGUGCGAAUGCCAGAAAUUGAUGAAUUGAUUAAGCAUCAUAUUAGAACGGUGAAAUUGUAAAUGGUGCUAUUCAGACUACUCAAGUUUCUUUAGUAAACUUCUACCAGUCAAUAAAUGUUUUGGAAACAAAAUAAUUUUUGAAGUAGUGAAUCAAUUUCUGAAUAGUAUAAUAAAUAUGAUGUAUGUGUGGAAUGAAGAAGGAAAUUAAACAAAUGGGUUUCGUAACUAAGUCCAUCUAUUUCAUUCCAUGAAUAUAUAUAUACACAUGCACAUGGUAUGCAUUAUCAUCUUCUUAUCAUUGUCUGUAUGUCUGUUAUUGAAAAACUUUUGUACUCAUUACUGCUGCAUUCAUUAAUAUUAGACUGUUUCUUUCCUUAGUCCAGACAUUGUUUUACCAUUUCUUUAGUUAAAUUGUUGUUGUGGGCUUAAAUUAAAUUAGGCGAGCUGUUCAUUUGUUAAUUAUCUUAGCUGUUGUAAAUUAGUUUAGUUUGAUGUGUGAUAUAUUAAUUUAGUGAACCAACAGUCAAUUUAGUUUGUAAUGUAUAUAUCUUAGUUGUUGUUGCAAAUUUAAUUAGUUCUAGCCUACCUAGUUAAUCAAUCUCAUUGUAAUUGUAAUAGGCUUAGUUAGUUUAGAUUGUUUAGGUUAAAUUUCAUUCCUUACUAUGUAUGUGGUACAUUACAUAGUUAAUAUAAUCUACUGUUGUCAUUAUAUUUAGGCUAGUUUAAUUAUGUUGCUCCUUGCUUGGUUAGUUGUUAAUUAGUUAGCUUCGUUCCCAUCAGAAUAAUAGCAUUUCACACUAGUAAUCCUUUCUUUUAGUUUUAUGUACUUCAAAUGUUAAUUCUGCUCUAUCUAGUAUAAUUAUUGACUAAUGUUUUCACUUCUUUUGACUUGUUCUUGUUGCCAUAGUUUU